CGCCUCGCUCCAGCCCGCGCGGUGCCCUCGGGGAGUAAACACCACUCUGGGCGUUCCGGCUCACUCGCUUUCCAGGACCGCCAGAACGCAGGGAAACCUUUCUCUGUUUGCAUCUCAUUCCGUCUUCCACCGGACAAUUCGCAUUCACAACUGCUGCAGCCGCGUGUGCGCGCACCUGCACCCUUAAAGAAACUGAAGUCGCGGCAGCCAGAGAACCGGCGUUCAGGCGGGGCGGCGGGGGUCCCACUCCCCUUUCCACCUCUCUGCAAAUCCUCCGACUCUGGGAAGGGAGGCAGAGCACUUUGGAGAGGAUGGGGAUGGUGCCUGGAGAGGAGGUUGAUCUUGCAUAGUCGGGGAGAUAGACUCCCCACGAGCAUCCCCGCCUCCUCGAUUUCUCCGGCCCAGCGCGGAGGAGGCGGGGCGUGGAAAGCCCGAGAGGCGGAAAGCCGAAGCCCCGGAGUGGCUGGGCUGCGAGGGGGUGCGCGUCCGGGGGCCACGGGGGGAGGCCAGAGAAGCUCGAGCGCACGGAGCCAAAGGCCCCCUCCUCUCGGGCCUUGCAGGACUGCAGGUUGGACCUCGCCUUAUGAGGUCCCUGCCCCACAAGGAAGGGGAAGAGGAUGGAGCUCUGGGGCCUCGUGAGAUGGCAAUAUUCUCACUUUCUCUGGGUUCUCUACAGAAGACAGCAGGAUGUCCGGAAGAAUGAAUGGGAAGCCAGCUGGAGGAAAAGAAAGAAACCACCAAUGUACAGGCAAGAGGAGGAAUUAUCAUAAGUGACUAUUACAUUUCUAUGACAUUUAAAAAUAAAUGUGUUUUUUGUGAAUA